rnacentral:rRNA from 1 species
GAUGAACGCUGGCGGCGUGCCUAAUACAUGCAAGUCGAGCGAAUGGAUUAAGAGCUUGCUCUUAUGAAGUUAGCGGCGGACGGGUGAGUAACACGUGGGUAACCUGCCCAUAAGACUGGGAUAACUCCGGGAAACCGGGGCUAAUACCGGAUAAUAUUUUGAACUGCAUGGUUCAAAAUUGAAAGGCGGCUUCGGCUGUCACUUAUGGAUGGACCCGAGUCGCAUUAGCUAGUUGGUGAGGUAACGGCUCACCAAGGCAACGAUGCGUAGACGACCUGAGAGGGUGAUCGGCCACACUGGGACUGAGACACGGCCCAGACUCCUACGGGAGGCAGCAGUAGGGAAUCUUCCGCAAUGGACGAAAGUCUGACGGAGCAACGCCGCGUGAGUGAUGAAGGCUUUCGGGUCGUAAAACUCUGUUGUUAGGGAAGAACAAGUGCUAGUUGAAUAAGCUGGCACCUUGACGGUACCUAACCAGAAAGCCACGGCUAACUACGUGCCAGCAGCCGCGGUAA